AAUAUACAGUUGACUCAGAUCUGAGAUAACAAGAAGACCUAUAUAAAUCGAAAAAUCAAAUUCGCCGACGGUUACUCGAUCCAGUUCCCAACACGUUCUUUCUCAUCGACCUUUUUUUUUUUUGAACAAAAACUCUACUCAUCGACCUCAAAAUGACGAAAACGCCCCUCACCGUCGUCGUCCUCCUCUUCCUCCUCAUCUCCGCCGCCGUUCCUCCUUCCACUGCCGAGAUCAAAUCCCUCGUCAUCUCCUCCGACGCCCGCCCCAUGAUCCUCUUCGA
rnacentral:lncRNA from 1 species